rnacentral:rRNA from 1 species
GUGAGGAAUAUUGGUCAAUGGGCGAAAGCCUGAACCAGCCAUGUCGCGUGAAGGAUGAAGGUCCUAUGGAUUGUAAACUUCUUUUGCAGGAGGGUAAAGUGAGCUACGUGUAGUUCAUUGCAAGUACCCUGCGAAUAAGCAUCGGCUAACUCCGUGCCAGCAGCCGCGGUAAUACGGAGGAUGCGAGCGUUAUCCGGAUUUAUUGGGUUUAAGGGGUGCGUAGGCGGACUAAUUAGUCAGCGGUGAAAUUUUGCGGCUCAACCGUAAAACUGGCGUUGAAACUGUUAGUCUUGAGUGCGGUAGAGGUAGGCGGAAUGUGUGGUGUAGCGGUGAAAUGCUUAGAAAUCACACAGAACACCGAUUGCGUAGGCAGCUUACUGGAGCGCAACUGACGCUGAGGCACGAAAGCGUGGGGAUCGAACAGGAUUAGAAACCCGUGUAGUCC